AUAAUCAGGAAAUGCAGCCUAUAAUCCCUAUAAUCUGUACUUCAUGCUUCUUACAUGUUACAUCGUAAAACGACAAACGGGGCGAAAUGGGCGAAACAACUUGUUGCUAAUUUAUACUUAUAGUUCUGUGAUUUCAAAUACCAAAUUGAACUUUGUAUUUUAUAUGCUACUGUCAGUCAUUCCAACAACUCAACAAGUUGACUUAGCCGCUCUGUCAUUUUCCAUCCUGUCCAUUGAUCUUCAUGCUGUCAAAAGCCUAUAAAUGCUGCCUAAGUGAUUUAUAAUCUCAUUCCCACACGGGACAAACUCUCCACAAGACCAUACUUGCAAACAAUCUUGUGCUCUUGUUAAAUUAUUUUCUAAAUCAAAAUGCCCGGAGAAGUUCAAAUGGAAGCCGAGACUUUCGCAUUCCAGUCCGAGAUUGCUCAGCUUAUGAGCUUGAUUAUCAACACCUUCUAGUUGAUCUCCAACUCCUCAGAUGCCCUAGACAAGAUCCGUUAUGAAUUCCUGACUGACCCAAGCAAGUUGGACAGAGGCAAGGAUCUUGGAAUCAAGAUUCUCCCCAAAAAAUUUGCAAUUCCGCCCAUGAAGAAAAAAACGUUUCUGGGCCGUUUGAUUGACAUCAGUUACAGACAGCACACGGCAAAAGCCGAAAAAAUGGUGAGAACGUCCUCCCAUCAUAAUC